rnacentral:rRNA from 1 species
GAUAAACGCUAGCGGCAGGCUUAACACAUGCAAGUCGAGGGGCAGCAUAGAUUGUAGCAAUACAAUUGGUGGCGACCGGCGCACGGGUGCGUAACGCGUAUGCAACCUACCCGUCACAGGGGGAUAAUCCGGAGAAAUCUGGUCUAAUACCCCAUAACAUAUGGAUCGGCAUCGGUUCAUGUUGAAAUUUUCGGAGGUGACGGAUGGGCAUGCGUAGCAUUAGCUUGGGGGUGAGGUAACGGCUCACCAAGGCGACGAUGCUUAGGGGGGCGGAGGGGUUUGCCCCCCACACUGGUACUGAGACACGGACCAGACUCCUACGGGAGGCAGCAGUGAGGAAUAUUGGUCAAUGGGCGCAAGCCUGAACCAGCCAUGCCGCGUGCAGGAUGACGGCUCUAUGAGUUGUAAACUGCUUUUGUACGAGGGUAAAGUGGGUUACGUGUAACCUUUUGAAAGUAUCGUACGAAUAAGGAUCGGCUAACUCCGUGCCAGCCGCCGCGGUAA